CUCAUGAAACGAUUGGUCUUGUCGGUUCCAUUCCAGAACCCGCGUGUUUUAAAAGGACUUUGUUUUAAUCGAGCUUUGUGUUGACUUACAAUUACGCCUAUCACAGCAAUCUUUCUGCUCAGACCUAAAAACGAAAAUGCAAGGAAGUGAAAAAAUAAGUGGACAUGACUUCGGGGAAGAGGCCGACUUAAACGACCUUAUAUGUUAUGAAUGUAAUGAAAAGUAGAUAUAAUGAAAAAGUAGAUGAAGAAUUAGACGCAAUAUAUAAUCACAAUUGCUUCAUAGGCGCACAAAAUGUAUAUCUUUCAGGACGAUAUAUAAUAAGACAGAUUUCGUGAAAAUGAUAAACAGGAGGCACCGAUCGAAAUGAAAAACAAAAAAUACCAAAAAGGGAAUUUGCUAAAAAUAUCCGCGAAAAACAAGAAAAAGAGAAAGCUGCUCGACAGUAUGUGUAUUUGAAACUCAAACGCAUCGAACUGAAACUGAAAGCCAAAAAAUAUAAAGCCAAAUACAAUAUCGACAUCGACAAUGACGAUGAUGACAUUGAUGAGACAUAAUAGUUUGAAAAUAUUUUAUG